rnacentral:rRNA from 1 species
CGGGGUGCACCAGGCGCGAAAACUUUACAAUGCUGGAAACAGCGAUAAGGGGACCUCGAGUGCCAGGUUACAAAUCUGGCUGUCGUGAUGCCUAAAAAGCAUUGCAUAGCAAGGGCCGGGCAAGACCGGUGCCAGCCGCCGCGGUAACACCGGCGGCUCGAGUGGUAACCGUUAUUAUUGGGUCUAAAGGGUCUGUAGCCGGCCGGAUAAGUCUCUUGGGAAAUCCAGCAGCUCAACUGUUGGGCUUUCAGGAGAUACUGUCUGGCUCGAGGCCGGGAGAGGUGAGAGGUACUUCAGGGGUAGGGGUGAAAUCUUGUAAUCCUUGAAGGACCACCAGUGGCGAAGGCGUCUCACCAGAACGGACCUGACGGCAAGGGACGAAAGCUAGGGGCACGAACCGGAUUAGAUACCCGGGUAGUCCUAGCCGUAAACGAUACUCGCUAGGUGUCGGCCACGGUGCGACCGUUGUCGGUGCCGUAGGGAAGCCGUGAAGCGAGCCACCUGGGAAGUACGGCCGCAAGGCUGAAACUUAAAGGAAUUGGCGGGGGAGCAC